CCCUUUCCCUGAUAUUUAAUUUGGCUUUUCAGGAAAAAAAUGACCAUCUCGAAUUUCUUCCAAAAAAUGUAAAGCAUUUGCCCCAAAUUGAAGCCUUAUCUUGGGAAGUGUGAUAUGGAAGUUAUAGGUGGAACUGCCACUACGAAGAAAUCCAUACCAGAAUUUUAGCUUCUACGUGUUGCAAGAGAAUUGAUUUUCUAUGCAGAAACUGACAAGCUAUGUAAACAACAUGACCAUUGAUCAGUGUUUUAUGGAAACACUUUAGACUAGGAUGAAGUUCCGGGUUACAAUGCAUUGAGACCAUCAUAUCAUGGCUGCAGUUAUCUGAAAUUAAUAGACAGUCAUAAAUAUUCCUGUUGUAGCAUUGUGUUGAAAGUGCUUCCUUGAAUAUUCUAUGCUACAAUUUGGAUGGUUUAAAGGGGUUCUAACAUUUAGUUUUGGAGUAUCAAUCUGAUCUCUAAAUGUUGAGAGAGAAAGCAUUUUGACAAGAUUUGGGUGCUGGGGAAAUUAGGAUUUAUUCCUUCCAUCCAGUUGUGGGGAAAACAAAAUGACGACCAGGAGUUUCUUCUAGAAAAUGGAAAGCAUCUGCCCAAAUUUGGGUGUAAUUUCCAAGCAUGUAAUAUGGAAGAAACUUGCUUUGUCCAAUGCUCCUCUGUUUUUUCUGAUGAUGCGCAGUGGCAAUACCUUAGUAGCAUCCAGAGCUUCAAUUUAGAAAUAUGAACAAACUGGCGUCCCUCCCAAAGGGAUUUCAACAUGUUCCCACUCUGUGCAGACUCACAAUGGACAGUUGCCCUAAUUUGAUGCCUUUACAGGAGUGGAUGGAAAGCCUCACCCACAUUACAAGCUUUCUGGAUUGUAGAAUGUCCUAAACUGUCAUAAAGAUGCAAAAACAACAUGGGUGCUAAUUGGCCCAAGAUUGCUCUCAUCCCAUAUGAUAGUAUUGAUGGAAGAUGGAUGCAGGAGGAUGGUUGUUACAAAUUAUAAUCAGAAGAAUUAGGCUUCCUUCGUUUGAUGAUGGUUCUGUCUUGUUGAAAGAUGCCAGAGAAACAAUUGUGGAUUUGCCUCUCAUGUGCCAGCAAGUGCUAUUUUAUUAUUGACUUGUGCAUGUUUAUUUCUUCGUCUUUUUGAGUGACUGGUACAUAAUAUCUAAUAGUUUGCAUCAAUCUCAAUGCUUGCUCAUUACCCACGCAGCAGCAUGAAAAAUUAGGGACUCAUUACCUAUUUAGUGGCAACUGAUCAUCUAACUUAUCUGCAAUAAUUUGUUAAAGGCCUGAAGCAAAGAUCUGAUUCUGAUUCAAGCAGAUUUAGGGGUCAUAAUCAUGAAAGGUUCAAUGAUGCUGUCUAGCUGAGACCUGAUCAGUUGAUUAUAUAUAUGAACCUUGCAAUUUAAUAUUGCACAAGAAAUGGAGGUUUUUUAUUGCAAUUUAGUAUCACAGCAAGACGUCUACGAACUGGUUUGAAUUUAGUUCUGGAAACUGAAGAUUGCUGAGAAAUCAACUAUGAUCUCUGAAGGCACAAUGGUGGAAAAAUCAUUGGUUAAACAAAAUAAGAUUCAGCGCUUCAUAAUUCUUCAAAUCUAACUUAUUCCUUCCAUCUAGUUGUUUGGUAAGUCUUAUUACUGGGUUGUUUUUCUAUCAUUUUUGUUGUUAUAUUUUCUUGUGCAUGGACAAUUAAAUAUCAAAAAGCCCACAGUUUUACCUUUCUUUAAUUUGGUUUCCGGGAAAACAAAUUGACAAUCUGGAGUUUCUUCUGGAAAAUGUUUAAGGCAUUUGCCCCAACUGAGGUCUAAUCUUCAGGCAUGUGAUAUUUAAGAAAUCAUUUACGUGAUUGCAGAAUUGUUUGAACUUCUGUUACCAGAUGCAUGUUCUGAGUGAGAUCCAGAGUGUUCGGAGAUUUGAGGUUUUAUUUUCAGGCUGUUAUGCUGAUAUUGUGAAUCAAUAGAUUGAAGCAUUUCCAUUUAAUUUUAAUCGAGCUAUGGAAUUUCAAAUGAGCAUUCUGCAACUAUUGUCUUCAAUUUCAGAGUUUGGAAGUUGAUAAUGUUCUAAUUUGUUGAAAGAUGCCAGAAAAGAACAGUUGUGAAUUGGCCUCUCUUGUGCAAGGAAGGUUUUUUUUUUUGGUCUGGUGCAUUGUGCAAAAUUUUCAAUCUAUAUGGACCCAAUUGCAGUUUAGACUUUAAAGGAAACCUUGCGGGCACAACUACAUGUGAAAGAGAAGCCCAUCCAUCGAUCAAAGCUUCGGAGUUAUCUUGUGCCAAUUUGUCUCUUGUUGACUCAUCUAAUUCUAUUGUGGUUGAAUCGAAUUCAAAGAAUGUUGUUUCUUGGGUUCUUAAACCGGAUUCCACUCCUUGGCAACUAUCAUUGGUGAUUAACUCCAUUGUGACCAGCAUUGAAUCCCUUCCACCUGUUUACCUUUUGCUUCUCCUCACGAGAAUCCAACUCAGUUGCAGAUUUGUUGGCCAAACAAGGUUCAAGGCGCAAUGAAGAUUUCAUUGCUUUCUUAUAAAUCCUGGUUUGAAAUUGUUGGAUGUAUUUGUGUAUUCAGCAUGUCUCUUUUGUUUGUUUGUUUGUUGUUUUUCUCUUGAGAUGUGAGCUGGCUUAUGGUUCCAGGAUUGUAUCCCUUUGGCUCUAGGCUUGUAGUUUUGCUCCGUCCAGGUUUUUUACUUAGCAUGCGUCAUCCUAGGUUGGGUGUACUGGGUAGGUCUAAUGACCUGGGUUUAGUUGGAUAACACAUGCUAAGUUUUUCCUAGAUUUAUUAAUAAAAUAAUUUUACUUAUAAAAAAUAAAAAGUGCAGUCUAGCAUUGGAGAGCA